UACGGGGGGAGCAAGCGUUGUUCGGAUUUACUGGGCGUAAAGGGCGCGUAGGCGGUCGUGACAAGUCACUUGUGAAAUCUCCGGGCUUAACUCGGAACGGUCAAGUGAUACUGUCGGACUAGAGUACAGAAGGGGCAACUGGAAUUCCUGGUGUAGCGGUGGAAUGCGCAGAUAUCAGGAGGAACACCGGUGGCGAAGGCGGGUCUCUGGGCCGAUACUGACGCUGAGGAGCGAAAGCGUGGGGAGCGAACAGG
rnacentral:rRNA from 1 species